UUUCCGAGUUAGUGGCGGACCGGUGAGUAACGCGUGGAUAACCUGCCGUAUGCAGGGGGAUAACAGUUGGAAACAGCUGCUAAUACCGCAUAAGCGCACAGUACCGCAUGGUACGGUGUGAAAAGAUUUAUCGGCAUACGAUGGAUCCGCGUCCGAUUAGCCAGUUGGCGGGGUAACGGCCCACCAAAGCGACGAUCGGUAGCCGGCCUGAGAGGGCGGACGGCCACAUUGGGACUGAGACACGGCCCAAACUCCUACGGGAGGCAGCAGUGGGGAAUAUUGCACAAUGGGGGAAACCCUGAUGCAGCGACGCCGCGUGAGUGAAGAAGUAUCUCGGUAUGUAAAGCUCUAUCAGCAGGGAAGAAAAUGACGGUACCUGACUAAGAAGCCCCGGCUAACUACGUGCCAGCAGCCGCGGUAAUACGUAGGGGGCAAGCGUUAUCCGGAUUUACUGGGUGUAAAGGGAGCGUAGACGGCGCUGCAAGUCCGGAGUGAAAGCCCAUGGCUUAACCAUGGUACUGCUCUGGAAACUGUGGAGCUUGAGUGCGGGAGGGGCAGGCGGAAUUCCUAGUGUAGCGGUGAAAUGCGUAGAUAUUAGGAGGAACACCGGCGGCGAAGGCGGCCUGCUGGACCGUAACUGACGUUGAGGCUCGAAAGCGUGGGGAGCAAACAGGAUUA
rnacentral:rRNA from 1 species